GAGGGAAAGGUGAAAAGCACCCCGGGAGGGGAGUGAAACAGUUCCUGAAACCGUGCGCCCACAAACCGUCGGAGCCUCCGCGUGGGGUGACGGCGUGCCUAUCGAAAAAUGAGUCUGCGAGUCAGUGGCGGGUGGCGAGCAUAAGCCGUGUGGCGUAUGCGUAGCGAAAGCGAGUCUUAAAAGGCGUUUUUAGUCGCUUGUCCUGGACCCGAAGCGGGAUGAUCUAGCCCUGGGCAGGUUGAAGCGCGGGUAAGACCGCGUGGAGGACCGAACCCACCUGGGUUGAAAACCGGGGGGAUGACCUGGGGCUAGGGGUGAAAGGCCAAUCAAAUUCCGUGAUAGCUGGUUCUCUCCGAAAUGCAUUUAGGUGCAGCGUCGGUCGAUUGCGUCGCGGGGGUAGAGCUACCGGAUGCUUGCGGGCCCUUGUUGGGUACCAACAGCAGCCGAACUCCGAAUACCGUUGACGUGUAUUCCGGCAGUGAGUCGGCGGGGGAUAAGCUCCGUCGUCGAGAGGGAGACAGCCCAGACCGUCGUCUAAGGUCCCGAAGCGUGUGCUAAGUGGGAAAGGAUGUGGAGUCGCAUAGACAGCCAGGAGGUUGGCUCAGAAGCAGCCAUCCUUGAAAGAGUGCGUAACAGCUCACUGGUCUAGUGGUUCCGCGCCGACAAUGUAGCGGGGCUCAAGCACACCACCGAAGACGCGGCAGCAAUCUUCAUGGUUGCUGGGUAGGAGAGCGUCCUGCGAGGGGCGAAGCGGCCGGGUAACCGUGCCGUGGACUUCGUGGGAGUGAGAAUGCAGACAUGAGUAGCGAGAGACGGGUGAGGAUCCCGUCCGCUGGAUGACCAAGGGUUCCGGGGCCACGUUCGUCGUCCCCGGGUGAGUCGGGUCCUAAGGCGAGGCCGACAGGCGUAGUCGAAUGGAUGAACGGGUGGAUAUUCCCGUACCGACCAUGGACCGGCAAAACCGAGACGGUGAGUACUAACCUCCGCCUCGUGGUGGUUCCUUCCUUCGGGUUGGUUCCGCCGCGUGGUGUUGGGAGCGUAGCCGUAGUAGGUCAGCGCAGGGGUGACACGGAAUGGGAGCCGGCCGCGGAGGUGGUUUUCCGUGGUCAAGCACGCAGCCAGUCAUGUAGGCAAAUCCGCAUGGCGCGCAUGGCGAGGUGUGAUGAUGGGAGCCGUUAUGGCUCGAUAUCCGGUUGUCCAGGCCGUCGAGAAAAGCCUCGGCGUGAGGGCCAUGGCCGCCCGUACCCCAAACCGACACUGGUGGUCAGGUAGAGAAUACCAAGGCGAUCGAGCGAAUCCUGGUCAAGGAACUCGGCAAAUCACUCCCGUGCCUUCGGUAUAAGGGAGACCCGCUGGGGUGAACCGGCUAGCCCGGGGAGCUUUGGUGGGUGGCACAGACCAGGGGGUAGCGACUGUUUACCAAAAACACAGGUGCAUGCGAAGGCGAAAGCCGCUGUAUAUGCACUGACGCCUGCCCGGUGCCGGAAGGUUAAGAGGAUCCGUCAACUCUUCGGAGCGAAGCGGUGAAUUCAAGCCCCGGUAAACGGCGGUGGUAACUAUAACCAUCCUAAGGUAGCGAAAUUCCUUGUCGGGUAAGUUCCGACCUGCACGAAUGGCGUAACGACUUCCCCACUGUCUCGACCAGGAGCUCGGCGAAAUUGCAGUACGAGUAAAGAUGCUCGUUAAGCGCAGAAGGACGAAAAGACCCCGGGACCUUUACUAUACCUUGGUAUUGGCGUUAGGCGCGGAUUGUGUAGCAUAGGCGGGAGGCUUCGAAGCGGGUGCGCCAGCAUUCGUGGAGCCGCAAGGUGAAAUACCGCUCUGUUCUCGUUUGACGUCUAACCUCGACAAGUCAUCCUUGUCAGGGACAGUGCCUGGCGGGUAGUUCAACUGGGGCGGUUGCCUCCCAAAGAGUAACGGAGGCGCUCAAAGGUCCGCUCAGCCCGGUUGGCAAUCGGGUGUCGAGUGUAAUCGCACAAGCGGGCUUGACUGCGAGGACGACGGUCCGAGCAGGGACGAAAGUCGGAGAUAGUGAUCCGGUGCCGGCGCACGGGCGCGGCAUCGCUCAACGGAUAAAAGGUACCCCGGGGAUAACAGGCUGAUCAUUCCCAAGAGUCCAUAUCGACGGGAUGGUUUGGCACCUCGAUGUCGGCUCGUCGCAUCCUGGGGCUGGAGCAGGUCCCAAGGGUUCGGCUGUUCGCCGAUUAAAGCGGCACGCGAGCUGGGUUCAGAACGUCGUGAGACAGUUUGGUCUCUAUCCUCUGCGCUCGUUGGAAUCCUGAGGAGGCCUGCCCAUAGUACGAGAGGACCUGGGUGGACGAACCUCUGGUAUGCCGGUUGUCGCGCCAGCGGCACGGCCGGUUGGCUACGUUCGGGAGGGAUAACCGCUGAAAGCAUCUAAGCGGGAAGCCUGCUCCAAGAUUAGGAUUCCAUGGAUCUUCGAGAUCCUGUAGCCCGCAUGUUGA
rnacentral:rRNA from 1 species